GCAAGCGCAGUGACUCCAGGAGGCACGGCCUUUGCGCAGGAAGAGCAGCAGUUUGCUGUGGAGCCGUCUGCAUCCAAGUCCAGCUCUGCUGCUCACUGGGAACGGGCCCUCCGGACAGAUUCUGCCCUUAAGAACUGAGUGUCUUCAGAACUAUGAAUCAACCAAGAGAAGCAAGGGGGCUGAUAGCUGGAGGACAGAACACCAGCUUUAUUACUGACAAAGCAAACUCUCAGGAUUAAGACUACAGAGGGCUUUCCAAGAGGCCCCAGAAUUAGUCUGACCUUUCCACACAGUCACCGAAAGGGCUGGAAAAAU
rnacentral:lncRNA from 1 species